CUUUGUGUUCGUGACGGCCAGGGGGUACAUCGGUGACGUCAUCAAGUGCGUCACGGGCACGGAGAGGACGGAACAUAAGGCGAUUGAGACGUAUUGUUUCAUGACGUCACGUUUUACUGUUGUUGAUUUGGGGCCUGAGCGCAGGCAUCAGCCCAGCCUGGCGCAGGACCCUCCACCACACAGGACUCGCCGGAGGACCGCCAGCGCCGCGCCUGCUGCCAGUGGGUCCCCCUCGCGUUGGUGCUGCGAAUCGUCAUCUAUUAUCUCCCUGCGUACCUGUGGCACCUGGUCGGCUUCGGGUUCUCUGAUUAGCGGUCGAUCUUGAUCAAGUGUUCCCCGAGAGAGUUGCAAAGAGGGUCAAGCUGGCGACGGAAUACUUCGUGUUCCCUGGGCACGCACGGCCUCUGCGCCUUGCCCGUCCUCCUGUGCGAGGGCCUGGCAGUCUUCCUCGCCCUCGGGAACCUCCCCUUUGCGAACAAAUUCCUCGGGGGAAAGUUCUUCAGAUACGGGCUCUCGGCGGCCAAGUUCCUGCUGGACAGAGCGGCGGAAGGGACGGGCCCGCUGGAUGAGGUGUUUCCCAAGGGGAGGGAGAGGAGAGAGGGGGAGAAAGGGAGGGAAGG